rnacentral:lncRNA from 1 species
UAAUCUAGCCUCACAAAAAUAAUUCUGACAUAUUCUCCAGUUUUCAUAAUUUUCUGACACUGUGCAUUUUCUGCUAAAAUAUCAGCCCCGUUCUUUACAAAAAAUUCUAAAUUUUCUGUUUUCACUCUAAUUUCCGCACAAAUCAUUUUCGACUUAUAUUUUACUCCUCGGAAUCCAAUAAAAAUUUUAUUUUACACUAUUUUUAUUUACAUCUAUUUUUAUAUUAAAAUUCCGGUAUAUUACAGUUGUUGAUACCUUUCCAUAUGCAAUCUGUAUGUUGAUUUCUGUUCCUGGUUGGAACAUCGUGAAUUGUAUUGAUUGUGACGCCUAGGACGUACAGGGAAAACUCUGUCCAUUCGG